UUUGUCCUCUCCUCUACUCCUUCAAGAGUUGGCAAUUUGCAAAGAGUGAGAUUGCAUCAUCAAUUAAUUGUAUGGAGAAUUGGAGAAAACCAUAUAAGAGCUGCUGACAAAGAGUAAUUGCUUGAUUCAAGGUAACCCACCAGCAUCUGCCAUAAUAUCAGCCAUAUAAUUAGUAAACAGUUCCAAACAAAGUUUGAUUCUUAUCAUAAAAUCAUUUAUAAGAAUUCACAUGACACCAAAAAAUCCUAUCACCAAAUUAGUUGUAAAGUCAUCUAGUCAGCUACACAGCUUCAGAAUAUUUAGAAAUUGACCUACCACUUUUUUUCACUGUCACCACUUGGACGGACUAGACAAAAACUAAAUCUCGAGGGUCAAAAUGUAAUUCACACUCGUAAAAGUUUAUACUUAAUUGACACCUAUAAUUUUUUUUUUAUAUAUUUUUGUAAGCUAAACCAUUUGAAUAGUGCUUUUAUGACGAUUGACGACCUCUCGUCCUUUACAAACAGUAUAAAAUCUAGCUGAUUUUCUGCUUACGUCAAAGCACAUUUUAUAACAUAUUACGGUAGGGAUAACUAUGUCUAUUGUAACCCUAGCGUAGUGAUCAUCUGUAUCAUGAUCUUCAUUUUCCUCACAUCGAAUUAGGGAUGACCAUGCUUGUUGAGAAGUUAGAGCACAUUUUUCUCUUCAAGUUGCUUGUUGAGAAGUAGUCACACAAAAUUGUAUUUCCUUUAUAACAAGGUGUUAGCAGAGGAGAAUGGUAGAUGUUUAUUUUAGGUAAACCAACCAGCAUAUCCAUGGUUUGUUCAUUUAAACCUCACAAAUCAUUCCUCAUGGUUAUAUUAACAUUUUGGUUAAAUUAUUAGUUGAUUGUAAUCCAGUUUAGAACUAAGUAAAAUAUAGAAGAAAAUAAAUGGGAUCUUCAAGUAGGUAAGAGACAAUUUAGAGAUGCUUUUUGAGGUUUAAUCAAAUCAUAAGGGUUAAUACAAAACUUUAAAAGUCAAAUGAAUUAAAUUGAAAAGAAAUCCAAAUCUUAAGGACUAAAUUGAUUUAAAACAUACAAAACUAUGCUUAAACUAUGGAGACCCAUUUGGUAAUUUAAUCUUAUUUAGAAAUGAUAUCAAACGAGAAUACUAAUAUAAAGAAGAAAAGCAUCAUUUUUCAACAGAAAUGUAUUAAUAAGGUAUUAGGCAUUAGGUAUUAGGUUUAUACAAGUUUCAAAAGGGGAAAGUACAUUGUAUGUCACUACUUGGCAAAAAAGCCCUUUCUUUCCAAUAUCUCAAUCUACUUUUCCUCUUAAAUGAAUCACAACUAAUUAAGGUGGCUGUGUGUUUUAUGAAGAACCUCAUGACAAUUUAUGUGGGAGAGUCUAAUUUGGAAGAGGUUUUCCAUUUGAUCCAAUUGGAUAAAGUCCCUUUCUUGCUUGGGUUUAGGGGAUAUAAGAGGAAUGCAGAUGAAGCUCUUCUAAGCCAAGGAAUAUAGAUAGAAGUAAAUAUGGUGCACAGCCUUUGGUUGGUUUACUAAGGUCUCGUUGGGUAACAAUUUGGCCUUGUUUGAUAACUAUUUGAUUUUUUAAAAUUAAACAUACGAAUCUCACUUCCAUUCAUUUGUUUUAUUUAAUAAUCAUUUGUCGGCUAUAUUUGUUGGCUAUAUCAUAAGAGUGUUUUUAAAACUAAACAAAAAUUUGAAAUAAACAAAAAUAGUUUUUUAAAACUUGUUUUUGUUUUUAGAAUUUAGCCAAGGUUUCAACUCUUGUUCUUAAAAAUAAUACAUGCUAUGAGAUAAAAUAGGCUUAAUUUCUAAAAAUUAAAAACAAAAAAUGAAAUGGUACAAAUGGGGCUUUAGUUUUUUGUUUUUAUUUUUUAAAAUAAGUAAUUCCUCUCAAUUUCUUGUAAUAGUUUGCAUUUUUUUUAAGCAAAAGAGUCGAAUUCUUAACCAAAUUCUUAAAAUAAAAACAAGUUUUAAAAACGGUAUUUUUUAGUUUUCAAAAUUUGGUUUGAUCUUCUUUAAAAAUUAGUAACAAGUAAAUAACAAACUAUUUAGAGGUGGAAUUAGUGUUUCUAGGCUUAACUACGUAAGAUCGAAUAGUCACCAAAGGGGGUCUAAGAAGAAAGCAAACUUAGCUUUAAGAUCGAAUAGUCACCAAAGGGGUCUAAGAAGAAAGCAAACUUAGCUGAACAAUCUACCAUAUUCAAGUGGAUUUAAACAAGGCAGUGACUGCCAAUAAGACUGAAAUAGAUGAUAUAGAAAGAAAACAUUGCAACAUAUUAUCUCACCAGGAAGAAGAUUCCAAUUCAAGAAGCCUCCUUGUCCUCUAGCAUUAUUGAACUUGUAAACAGCACCAGAUGCUAGUUGAGGACAAAACAACAUCACAAAAUUGAGAUUAGACUUAGGGAGCCAUUGAUGUAAACAAGAGAGUUCAUUUCGGUUAUCAAAGAUUUUAUAAUGUUUACCUUCAUAACCUCCAACAACAGGGUCUUCUGCUAAUAAAAGUGGUGUAUCAAGAACAAUGUACCUGCAAUUUGGUUAAGAAACUUCAUUGAAACCAUGAAAUACUAAACGUUGCUACUCUUUGAAGUGACCUAAACAAAAUAAUGACGAAAAAAGUCAUGAAAAAGUACUUGAAGCAACCAACUCCAGCAGCCAAAUGGCCUGCAAACCCGGUUGCGAGUCUCGUCUCAGCCAUGCUGUCAACCAUAAGAAUCAAGCCUGAUUUUCUUGCAAGAUUUAUUAUUUCAAGAGCUCCGAGGACUCCAAACUUGGGCAACUUAAUGUUUAUGGCAUCCACAAGAUUUUUGUCAAUUAUCUUCCAAACAUCGGUUAAGCUCCGACAACUCUCAUCCACAGCAACAGGUAUCCCAUACGUUCUAGCGACGUUACUGACUUCGUGAAGACCUUUCCAGUCAUCUCUGUCUACAGGUUGCUCAAAAACAAGAGGCACUAUCCCCACAUCUGCCAUUAGAAUAGCCAUUUAAGACAAUUUUUACAUACUGUUAGAUCAUUUUGUAUCUUGGCAAAUUAUUACCCUUCAAUUUCUCAAGAAAUUUUAUUGCUUCGUCAGGUGUGUAUCCUUCAUUUGCAUCAAACAUGAAUGAGCAGCAGGGCUGAGCCGCAUGAAUGGCCUCAAUAGCUGCAAUUUCUGCAGCAAAGUUUUUCCCAACAACAAGCUUAAGAGUUUCAAAUCC
rnacentral:lncRNA from 1 species